UAUCUAAUUGAAGCCUGCAGGAGCUAAUUACUACCAUGCUAAAUGAAGAGGCUCAGAUGUUAAAGUGAGGGAUGGAAAAAUCUGCUCUCCUCUUGGGAAGUUAUUUCAGCUGUUAAUUGACGUUACAGGUGACAGGCUAAGAAUGCUGCUGCCAGAAAGCCAAGAGGAGAGCAACAGUGCCAGGACCAGCAUUGCUUCUGCUUCCUAUGACCUCAACAGAGGUGCUUGAAACUCAGCACUGCAUGUCCUUUCCUGAUUUUGGGACUUUGCAUGACCAGACACUUGGCUGCCAUCUCACAUGAAAUCACAGUAGAAGAGGGGUUUUGAAGCUGUGGCUGAGACAAGGAGAGAAAGCAAAGCAGAGCCCCAUUUCAAAGGAAGCCCUGAAGGAGAUUUGCAAGGUUUCUCCAAAUUGAAAUCAUGUGAAAUCACAUCUGUGGGUGAAACAGUGAAUACAAGACAAUCCUAAUAAAAAAGGGACUAUUAGCUUAGUUCUAGAGAAA
rnacentral:lncRNA from 1 species